CCAAAUGGGAGUUCAACAGACACUUGAAGAACAAGCAUGGCUUGAAGCCAGCGACAGAGACUCCCGAGGAGCCCUCCACCCAGUAUCUCUACAUCACCGAGGCUGAAGAUGUUCAGGGGACACAAGCAGCUGUAGCUGCACUUCAGGACCUGCGAUAUACCUCCGAGAGUGGUGAUCGACUUGACCCCACAGCUGUGAAUAUCCUGCAGCAGAUCAUUGAACUGGGUUCAGAGACUCACGAUGCUGCUGCCGUGGCCUCCGUGGUUGCCAUGGCGCCUGGGACAGUGACUGUUGUAAAGCAGGUCACCGAUGAGGAACCCAAUUCCAACCAUACAGUCAUGAUCCAGGAGACUCUGCAGCAGGCCUCUGUGGAGUUGGCCGAGCAGCACCAUCUGGUGGUGUCCUCUGAUGACGUGGAGGGCAUUGAGACAGUGACAGUGUACACACAGGGUGGGGAGGCCUCAGAGUUCAUCGUGUACGUGCAAGAGGCUGUCCAGCCCAUGGAGGAGCAGGUCGGGGAGCAGCCAGCCCCAGAACUCUAGAGAAUCCCUGCCUCCUUUGGCAGCCAGCCUUUGUGGGCCUGAAGACCUCCUAACCCACCAGGUCCAUCCCUGCUCUUCUUGCCCACUGGCCCAGAUAAAUUUCUCCAUACUGUCCUCUGUGUGGUCAAAGCCAGAGAGUAUCACCAGCAGUACAGAAGCCCAGUCCUCAAUACAAAUCACAUCCUGACCCAGGACCCUCUGUUUCCAGAAGACAUUUCCAUCAACUCUCCUGCCCUACCCCUUACUUGCUUCAAGACUCAGAGACUCCUCUCCCCAUCAGCAUCUUCUUUCAACCCCAGCCCUUUGGGUCCCUACCCUCCACCCUUGGUACACAUCCUUGGCUGGGCCCACUGUGCUGUCUGUGAGAGGGAGACAGACAUUACACAGCAAGUGGCCUUAUGUCUUUUGAGUUAACCCUGGGUAGGGUGGGCAGAACCAUCCAAGCAUUCACUGGGCCCUGCCCUCCUCAGCGCAGGGACACUGGAAACAAAUCAGUGACCCAUGGUCCUCUAUCACAAGGGCCCAGCUUGGAAUUCUUUUCUCUUUUAAAAUAAAUGCAUUUUUUCUUUCACCCCCUCCCCCCCAUUCAGGGAGGUGGGUGAGAUUAAAGCA
rnacentral:lncRNA from 1 species